GGGCUCCAGCCACUGCUGGGAGCCCCGGGCCCUUUAAAUUGCCAUCUGGGGAAGCUGGGCUGCCCUGCUACAGUGCACUGGCUGUUGCC